GAAUUCGCCCUUAGAGUUUGAUCCUGGCUCAGGACGAACGCUGGCGGCGUGCUUAACACAUGCAAGUCGGACGGUCUGUAUAUUGAAAGCUUGCUGGAUAUGUACGGAUAGUGGCGGACGGGUGAGUAACGCGUGAAUACCUGGCCAUCGGAGGGGGACAACGGCUGGAAACGGUCGCUAAUGCCGCGUAAGCCGUAAGGUGAAAGGCCACGGGAGUGGCUGCCGAUGGAUGGGUUCGCGUCCUAUCAGCUGGUUGGUGGGGUAAGGGCCUACCAAGGCUAAGACGGGUAGCCGGUCUGAGAGGGUGAUCGGCCACACUGGAACUGAGAUACGGUCCAGACUCCUACGGGAGGCAGCAGUGGGGAAUAUUGGGCAAUGGGGGGAACCCUGACCCAGCGACGCCGCGUGAGGGAAGAAGGUUUUCGGAUCGUAAACCUCUGUUGUACGGGAAGAAGGAAGUGACGGUACCGUACGAGGAAGCCCCGGCAAACUACGUGCCAGCAGCCGCGGUAACACGUAGGGGGCGGGCGUUGUCCGGAAUUACUGGGCGUAAAGGGCGCGCAGGCUGUUAUGCGAGUCUGCUGUGAAAUGUACCGGCUCAACCGGUGCCUUGCGGCGGAUACUGCAUAGCUGGAGUACUGGAGAGGGAAGUGGAAUUCCCGGUGUAGCGGUGAAAUGCGUAGAUAUCGGGAGGAACACCGGUGGCGAAGGCGGCUUUCUGGCCAGUUACUGACGCUCAUGCGCGAAAGCUGGGGUAGCGAACCGGAUUAGAUACCCGGGUAGUCCCAGCCGUAAACGAUGAAUGCUAGGUGUGGGUGUCGCAGGGCAUCCGUGCCGCAGCUAACGCGAUAAGCAUUCCGCCUGGGGAGUACGGUCGCAAGAUUGAAACUCAAAGGAAUUGACGGGGGCCCGCACAAGCGGUGGAGCACGUGGUUUAAUUCGAUGCAAACCGAAGAACCUUACCUGGGUUUGACAUCCUCUGACGACUCCAGAGAUGGAGAGUUCGAUCUUCGGAUCGACAGAGAGACAGGUGGUGCAUGGUUGUCGUCAGCUCGUGUCGUGAGAUGUUGGGUUAAGUCCCGCAACGAGCGCAACCCUUAUUCUUAGUUGCCAGCAUGAAAGAUGGGCACUCUAAGGAGACUGCCGGUGACAAACCGGAGGAAGGUGGGGAUGACGUCAAAUCAUCAUGGCCCUUACGUCCCGGGCUACACACGUGCUACAAUGGCUGGUACAACGGGCAGCAAGACCGCGAGGUGGAGCAAAUCCCUGAAAACCAGUCUCAGUUCAGAUUGCAGUCUGCAACUCGACUGCAUGAAGUCGGAAUCGCUAGUAAUCGCUAAUCAGCAGGUAGCGGUGAAUACGUUCCCGGGCCUUGCACUCACCGCCCGUCA
rnacentral:rRNA from 1 species